AUUGAACGCUGGCGGCAGGCCUAACACAUGCAAGUCGAGCGGAUGAAGGGAGCCUGCUCCUGGAUUCAGCGGCGGACGGGUGAGUAAUGCCUAGGAAUCUGCCUGGUAGUGGGGGAUAACGUCCGGAAACGGGCGCUAAUACCGCAUACGUCCUGAGGGAGAAAGUGGGGGUUCUUCGGACCUCACGCUCUCAGAUGAUCCUAGGUCGGAUUAGCUAGUUGGUGGGGUAAAGGCCUACCAAGGCGACGAUCCGUAACUGGUCUGAGAGGAUGAUCAGUCACACUGGAACUGAGACACGGUCCAGACUCCUACGGGAGGCAGCAGUGGGGAAUAUUGGACAAAGGGCGAAAGCCUGAUCCAGCCAUGCCGCGUGUGUGAAGAAGGUCUUCGGAUUGUAAAGCACUUUAAGUUGGGAGGAAGGGCAGUAAGUUAAUACCUUGCUGUUUUGACGUUACCAACAGAAUAAGCACCGGCUAACUUCGUG
rnacentral:rRNA from 1 species